UGGCGGCAGGCCUAACACAUGCAAGUCGAACGGUAACAGGAAGAAGCUUGCUUCUUUGCUGACGAGUGGCGGACGGGUGAGUAAUGUCUGGGAAACUGCCUGAUGGAGGGGGAUAACUACUGGAAACGGUAGCUAAUACCGCAUAACGUCGCAAGACCAAAGAGGGGGACCUUCGGGCCUCUUGCCAUCGGAUGUGCCCAGAUGGGAUUAGCUAGUAGGUGGGGUAAAGGCUCACCUAGGCGACGAUCCCUAGCUGGUCUGAGAGGAUGACCAGCCACACUGGAACUGAGACACGGUCCAGACUCCUACGGGAGGCAGCAGUGGGGAAUAUUGCACAAUGGGCGCAAGCCUGAUGCAGCCAUGCCGCGUGUAUGAAGAAGGCCUUCGGGUUGUAAAGUACUUUCAGCGGGGAGGAAGGGAGUAAAGUUAAUACCUUUGCUCAUUGACGUUACCCGCAGAAGAAGCACCGGCUAACUCCGUGCCAGCAGCCGCGGUAAUACGGAGGGUGCAAGCGUUAAUCGGAAUUACUGGGCGUAAAGCGCACGCAGGCGGUUUGUUAAGUCAGAUGUGAAAUCCCCGGGCUCAACCUGAGAACUGCAUCUGAUACUGGCAAGCUUGAGUCUCGUAGAGGGGGGUAGAAUUCCAGGUGUAGCGGUGAAAUGCGUAGAGAUCUGGAGGAAUACCGGUGGCGAAGGCGGCCCCCUGGACGAAGACUGACGCUCAGAUGCGAAAGCGUGGGGGAGCAAACAGGAUUAGAUACCCUGGUAGUCCACGCCGUAAACGAUGUCGACUUGGAGGUUGUGCCCUUGAGGCGUGGCUUCCGGAGCUAACGCGUUAAGUCGACCGCCUGGGGAGUACGGCCGCAAGGUUAAAACUCAAAUGAAUUGACGGGGGCCCGCACAAGCGGUGGAGCAUGUGGUUUAAUUCGAUGCAACGCGAAGAACCUUACCUGGUCUUGACAUCCACAGAACCUUGUAGAGAUACGAGGGUGCCUUCGGGAACUGUGAGACAGGUGCUGCAUGGCUGUCGUCAGCUCGUGUUGUGAAAUGUUGGGUUAAGUCCCGCAACGAGCGCAACCCUUAUCCUUUGUUGCCAGCGGUCCGGCCGGGAACUCAAAGGAGACUGCCAGUGAUAAACUGGAGGAAGGUGGGGAUGACGUCAAGUCAUCAUGGCCCUUACGACCAGGGCUACACACGUGCUACAAUGGCGCAUACAAAGAGAAGCGACCUCGCGAGAGCAAGCGGACCUCAUAAAGUGCGUCGUAGUCCGGAUUGGAGUCUGCAACUCGACUCCAUGAAGUCGGAAUCGCUAGUAAUCGUGGAUCAGAAUGCCACGGUGAAUACGUCCCCGGGCCUUGUACACACCGCCCGUCACACCAUGGGAGUGGGUUGCAAAAGAAGUAGGUAGCUUAACCUUCGGGAGGGCGCUUACCACUUUGUGAUUCAUGACUGGGGUGAA
rnacentral:rRNA from 1 species